AUGGGUGUAGUCUCACUUGCAUUCUUGGGAAGGAUUCUCAGAAGUAAAUCUUCAAGGAUCCGCUUCCCUGGUUGGUUCUAUUGGGGGCUUUUCAAUAACCCCAUUUCCUCUAUUCCAGCCCUACUCCCCAGCCCCAAGACUCCAAGAUUUCUGCUAAGCAGAUAUGACAUCUCCCAGCUCCCCAAAAUAGGGGGGAUUUGGAAUGUGUACAACUUGGUAGACAUAGACACAAUCAUAUUGAAACGCAUAUGGACAGAUUCUAAGUCAUUAAAUAAUUAUUGUCAUUGGUAUUACAUGGAUUGUUCAGUGCAAGUCAAACAGACUCAACCUGUACUUUCCAGGAGAGGAUGACUCUAUGCACUGAGAUAACCGUUAGGGGAAGUGAUCACUGAGGGCCAUGCUUUUCAAACUUCACACAUGAAUCAUCUGGGGAGCUCAGCAAAAGGCAGAUUCUGAUUCUAUAGGUUUGGGGUGGGAUGGGGGAUGCAAGUAUGGAGAUUCGGCAUUUCCAAGCAGUGCCCAGGGGAUGCUAAUGCAGCUGGUCCUCAGACCAUGUUGUGAGUGGCAAGAAUCUAGGGACUGAAUAACCUUGAGCAACUUUCCCAAAUAGUCCCCUCACUCUUAACAUGUUGUUUGUAUAUGGGGAGGAUAGAGUCUCAGAUUUAUUACUUGUGCAAUUCUGGAAGCUCUGGCAACAUGUUCACUUUCAAACAGCAGCCCACCUCUGAGUCUAGUUCCUAUCAACAUGGACUCACCGGGGUGGAACAGCUAACUCACAAAGGGAGCUCAAAUUCUCUGUGUCCUAGCUGGUAAGUGGACAUGGAAAUGGAUGUGCUGUUAGGGGAAAUGGAAAGUAGAGGCAGGCAAUUGGAUGAGUCAUGGAUGGGCCCUUUAAAAAGGAGAUUCAGGCUUUUGACUGCUUUUGGAGAGCCUGCCCUUGGAACGGACUUGGGGACUCUAACUACCGUACCCUGCUCUUUGUAGCUGUUCUCACUCUUCCACAGAUGCCUGGUUUCUUGGAACUUCUAUUUGUACACUUCUGACAUGAGUGCUGUCUCUGCCUCUGCCAAAACUUUGCAAAUGGAUCUACUCCAGAGAGAUACGAACUCCUGGCUUUGCCACAAAUGUUUUUUGCUGCCCAAGACUGCUCAGAAAAACAAAACAAAUUCCUCUCUCUAAAACAGUAUGUUAGAUGCCACUGCUUUGCUUUUUUAUCGUAGUUUUAUGGAUAUUCAUCCAGAGAAGAGCAGAAGCCCCCAGAAAAGCCCUAAAAAUGCAGGAGAAGUAAUUUCUGGUCUGCGGAGAGCCCUAAAACUCCAGCUUGGUGAUUGUUGUUUAAAGUAUUCUGGAGAUAAAAAGAAGCAGAUAAACUAUACUACACUGUGUUGGAAAUUUAAUAUUAUCAUUUACUCCAUAUUCCUUAGUGGGCCUUGGGUUGGUAUGGCAUUUUAUUUCACAAACGGGGACCACAUAUACUACCAUGUACUGUAAAUACUCAUUAUAACCUCACAGGAGAAAAAUACUGUACCCACUGAAUACGUAAACAGCUGUACUGAGAAAUAGAAAAUAGUCUUUUAUUUUACCUCAGUGAUAGAAAAAUAGUCUUCAAAAAUACAUUGUUAAACUUACGGGUUUAUAUUAAAGUAGAAUUUGUAUGUACAAUAAGGCAGUACUUUCGUUGGCAUCCUGCUGUGAUUAUCUUUUAAAUUAAAGUUAGUCUCAUGGGAUUUCUUUUCCACUAACAGAAGACUAGGGUAUAUAAUAAAUUAUUUAUCAUGCUGAAAUGAAGCA
ensembl:lncRNA